rnacentral:rRNA from 1 species
UACGGAGGGGGCUAGCGUUGUUCGGAAUUACUGGGCGUAAAGCGCACGUAGGCGGCUUUGUAAGUUAGAGGUGAAAGCCCGGGGCUCAACUCCGGAAUUGCCUUUAAGACUGCAUCGCUAGAAUUGUGGAGAGGUAAGUGGGAUUCCGAGUGUAGAGGUGAAAUUCGUAGAUAUUCGGAAGAACACCAGUGGCGAAGGCGACUUACUGGACACAUAUUGACGCUGAGGUGCGAAAGCGUGGGGAGCAAACAGG